AAAAAUGUUCUGUUUUUUUUCCCUCUGCUUGCUUCUUACUGUCUUUGAGGCUCGGGACCAGCACUCCUGCUGUUGGACAGAAAGACAUCAACUCAGUGACUUGAGAUAUGACUGCACUAUGCUGUUGCUGGUGACUCCAGUUAAUUCUACAAGACAUGCUGUGACAACAGGAGAGAUGAGUUCUCCGUCACAGAUGGUGUGGUCAGUGAAGAUGGUCGCCUGCAGGUUCAAGCUCAUUGCAUCUCCAACCCACAUCCACUGCCACUGUACUUAAGGGAAGUUAAAGACUUUCUUCUGCACCUACAUUUGGAUCACCUCGAUCCAUGACAGUCAUUCAGGCAGUAAUGCCUGGACUGGAAACAAGCCA
ensembl:lncRNA